GCAUUUGGUGGGUGUGGUUUUGCACUUGGGUUAAUUGCAUGGGUAUGGACUAAUGGCAGACAGGUGUGCUUGGGCAUGACAACCAUCUGCAAACAAUUUAACCAGCCACCCACUGGGCUCAAGUGUCUUCUGUUUGUCUCCUGUGUGCAGUGUGCGGGUGUGCUGAGGCUGCUGAUUCUUUGCAAGAGUGUGGUACACGGCUGGGUCGUGGUCUGGGGAGCUGCCAGUGUAGCGCCACCGCUACUUAGUAGAGUUACCAGAGGCCCAAGCAGUGAGGCUACAACCAACCAGCCUGUGACCAACAGCAGACCCGUUCCUGUUGUGUUUGGCUUCGCCCACGCAGGAAGACGAAGUUGAGCACACCCAGCCAUGACGAACUGCAGUUCCGUUUAACUAACAGUUUCCCCCAUUUGAACUCUCUUUUUAACUAUCUUAGCCUCAGUCUUGUUUUAACCCUUUGCAUGUCUAUUUUAUACAAAUAAAUUUGGAGGUUAUAUUUUG